CUCAAAUCAUGAUGAAAAGUUGCUUACUGUGAUAGCAGAGAACAGGUCUUGAAAAUGCAUGAGAUCACCUCUAGUCAUCCUGUUUAAUAUUUGUUGAACUAUACUUGUUAGGCCUAAAAAGAACAUUUGCAAGAUAUGGACAAAAGAAAGGAGUCUCUCUAGUGCUGCUCAUAUGAAUAAGGCAAGCACUUAAAUGAGGCCAACUGGAUCCAACUAGAAGCCAAAUGUUUCUGUCAAGCCUGUGUAAUCUUGAAGCAUCCCUUUGUUCCUCAGGGAUGCCUGGUGGUUCUGCUGAGCUGGCACACAGCGCAUGGGGGCACCGCUCUCAGCUCUGCAUCCCCUUCCACCAGCAGCUUGGUGUGGCUGUCCUCCAGCAAGCACAAGAUGAUGUGAGACCAAUGGAGUAAGCUCCCUGCAGCUUUAGUCCUCCCAUCCCAGAAGAAAAUCUGUGAAUGUUAAAAUAUCCAAGGUGGAUACGUUCCAGUCAUUUCUUUUGCCUUGAAUGUAGCUUUUGUAUACACUAUCAGUAGGGUAGUAGCUUUUGAAUACACUAUCAAAACCCAACAGAUUUACCAUAUGAGAUUUUUUGGAGUGUAUUAGCCCCCUCAUAUGCUGAAUCUGAGAAAAGCUGAAUACCUGAUUCCACUGAUCUGACCUGGUUAAAUGGUUCUUAUAAAUGCCGUCAUUUCCUACUGUUUAUGCAAUUUCUCCUUAUCUAAUCAUUUUCAGGAGGAAAGUCAGGGGUUGUACAGUCAGGAUCCAUAAAACAUGAUCAAGAAAGUCUAGCUGAUUUUCUGCAAGUUUUAAUCAUUUUUACAGAGAUCCACUACUGGGAGAUUUCUAGUGGUUAACAAAUAAAAGAAGUUGAAAG
rnacentral:lncRNA from 1 species